AGAACAUGGACACAAUGCAAUUGGGAUCAAUAAGAAGAAAUUCUGAAGUAUAUGGAUGGUCAGUGGAGGAUGUCUGCCAGUGGCUUCAGCAAAAUCAGUUGGAGGACUACACCUCUCCUUUCCAAGGUACCCUACAAGCAGACAAUAUACCGACGUCUGUACAUCAUUGGUGGCCAACUACCCAUUUCUAAGGGACCGUACAGGACAAGGAUAUGAAUCAUGGCAUGGGAUGAUAAAAAAUACAUUCAAAAAAGAAAGACAACCUCUUGUCUGCAAAACAGAGGUUGCAAUCAUCAGAGCUAAGUUCACACAGAAAAGGAGUUCUGAUGGCAAUGCAGGACCAGCAUCAAAUACAGCUAAUGUUUGUGGCUAACGUUACCCCUACCCUUAAACCUAAACUUAGUUCCAGCAAGUGUUUGCUUGUCAACAAAGUUGCAGUUAAUAGUUUGUGUAUAAUUUGAGUGUAUAUAUGGACCAUACAAUAUAUGCGACUAUCCAAUGAAGUGGGAACAUUAUUUAAAAAUCAAGAGCUUUACCUGUGCGUAUGUGUGUUUCUGUCAUAGGUGACUAAUGACGUGCAUGAUAUGGAGCUACUUGGGGGUGUGUCUGCUACACCACUUUUGAACCAAGUAAAUAACAGUAAUAUAAUUGUCAACAUAUGCUCAUUGGAUCAUGAAUUUGAAACAAACUCUCACUUUUCUUAUUCUGACGAAAUUUACUGGUAUUGAACUAAUCUUUACUAGGCAUUGAAAGAAUGAAGGAGGAAUGCAAAAUAAACCAUCCUGACUGUAGCCUCCUGCAGGACUGAUUUUCAUUCUGAUGCACUGAUUUCAUUCUGGUGCGCCUGUGAUGUACUGAUUUCAUUCUGGUGCGCCUGUAAUGUACUAAUUUCAUUCUGAUGCACUGAUUUCAUUCUGAUGUGCCUGUGAUGUACUGAUUUCAUUCUGAUGCACUGAUUUCAUUCUGAUGCGCCUGUGAUGCACUGUUUUCACUGAUGCGCCUGUGAUGGAUCAGAGUAGCCUCAGUACAUGUACUAUAUGUGAUGCACUGUUUUAAUUCUGAUGCAACUGUGAUGCACUGAUUUCAUUUUAAUGUGCCUGUGAUGCACAAUUUUCACUGUGACGACCCUGUGAUGCACUGUUUUCAC